rnacentral:rRNA from 1 species
CCUACGGGGGACAGCAGUGGGGGAUAUUGCACAAUGGGGGGAACCCUGAUGCAGCGACGCCGCGUGGGUGAAGGAGCGUUUCGGCGCGUAAAGCCCUAUCGGCAGGGAAGAAGGAGGACGGUACCUGACUAAGAAGCCCCGGCUAACUACGUGCCAGCAGCCGCGGAAAUACGAAGGGGGAAAGCGUUUUCGGAAUUACGGGGUGGAAAGGGGGCGCAGACGGCAGCGCGAGCCAGGAGCGAAAGCCCCGGGCCCAGCCCCGGGACUGCUCUUGGAACUGCGCGGCUGGAGUGCAGGAGGGGCAGGCAGAAUUCCUGGUGUAGCGGUGAAAUGCGUAGAUAUCAGGAGGAACACCGGUGGCGAAGGCGGCCUGCUGGACUGCGACUGACGUUGAGGCCCGAAAGCGUGGGGAGCAAACAGGAUUAGAUACCCGAGUAGUC